rnacentral:rRNA from 1 species
UACGGAGGGGGCGAGCGUUAUUCGGAAUUAUUGGGCGUAAAGGGCGCGUAGGCGGCUGUACAAGUCAAAGGUGAAAUCCCUCGGCUCAACUGAGGAACUGCCUUUGAAACUGUACGGCUUGAGGCCGGGAGGGGGUAGCGGAAUUCCCAGUGUAGCGGUGAAAUGCGUAGAUACUGGGAGGAACACCAGUGGCGAAGGCGCUACCUGGACCGGUUCUGACGCUGAGGCGCGAAAGCGUGGGUAGCAAACAGG